rnacentral:rRNA from 1 species
CCAAUAGCGUAUAUUAAAGUUGUUGCAGUUAAAAAGCUCGUAGUUGAAUUUCGGGAUCAAUAUGUUGGUCGUGCCUUUGGUACGUACUAGCUUAUUGAUUUCUCCCUUCUGACGAACCAUGAUGUCAUUAAUUUGGUGUCAUGGGAAAUCAGGACUGUUACUUUGAAAAAAUUAGAGUGUUUAAAGCAGGCUUACGCUUGAAUACAUUAGCAUGGAAUAAUGAAAUAGGACGUUUUGAUUCUAUUUUGUUGGUUUCUAGGAUCGACGUAAUGAUUAAUAGGGAUAGUUGGGGGCAUUAGUAUUCAAUUGUCAGAGGUGAAAUUCUUGGAUUUAUUGAAGACUAACUACUGCGAAAGCAUUUGCCAAGGAUGUUUUCAUUAAUCAAGAACGAAAGUUAGGGGAUCGAAGACGAUCAGAUACCGUCGUAGUCUUAACCAUAAACUAUGCCGACUAGGGAUCGGAUGAUGUUAAUUUUUUAAUGACUCAUUCGGCGCCUUACG